GUGCUUGCUUCAGCAACACAUAUACUAAAAUUUGAAUGAUACACAGAAUAUUAGCAUGGCCUCUGUGACAUGCAAAUUCAUGAAGCAAUCCAUAUUUCA
ensembl:snRNA U6 U6 spliceosomal RNA